rnacentral:lncRNA from 10 species
CCUGGGUACUAAGAUUAGUUCCCAUUUUACUGAUUAGGAAAUCGAGGUUAAGAGAGGGUAGGCGAUUUGCCUGAGAUCACACAGCCUCGUGUGUGGCAGAGCCUUAGAUUCCAAGCCAGGCUGUCCGAUGCCAGACCUUCACAGCUAUCCUAUGCUUCCACGGCACCCCGGACUUCCCCUUGGAGCACUUGCCAGUGAAACAAACAUGCCCUGGAGAAAUGCCUGGGAGUCCCACAGUGGGUAGGAGCACCAGCUGUUCAACAAGAG